GGGAAUGAGGCUGCAAGUGCAAGGUAAUGAACAAGCUCUGAGGAAAUGAAGGAAUUUUCUAAGGUACCUAUUUGUUUAUGAUACCUACAUUUACCGAUAUGACAACAAAUUUGUUGUCGUUUUGGUAAUUAAAGAUAGUUAUUACUUGGGUAAUUUACUAUAUGUCUAGAUAUUUAUUGGUUAUCGUACUGUUCACGGGAACAGUUUAGGAACAGGACGUUUCCAGGUUUUGCCCCUGGUUUGGGUAUGGUUAAUUUUGUUUCUACCCCUGUUGGCCACUUUCAACUUCUCUCAAUAGAGAAGAGAAGUCUAGAAAAACCCAGACAAAAGAGAGUAGAAACCUAGACAGAAGAGAGUCUAGAAAAACCAAGACAGAAGAGGGGAAAAACCUAGAAGAGUGCGACAGAGAGAGAAAAGAAGGUCUUAGAGAAAGUGAGAGAGAAAAGAGAGCAAAAGCUCGAUUCAUAUUCGAAAAGCUAGACCCAAAAACUCGAUUUAGACCCUAAAGCUCGAUUCAGAUCCUAAACCCUAAAGCUCGAUUCAGAUCCGAGCAGCCCAAACUCAGAGCAGAUCAUCUUCUCUUCUUCCAGUCAACGCCAUCAUCUCUUCUGACAGCCAACCCUUCAUAGCCGUUGCCGGAGACACACUUCCAAUUUUGGAUAUCCUUUCUCGGUUGUUCUCAUCUGCCUUUACUCAUUUGGUAUGUCUCAUCUUUUUCUUUUCUGUACGUUUGUGCUUUUGCGGGUUUGGUUUUGAUUUUCUUUUUGUUUGUUUUGAUUUAAUUUGGGUUUGGUUCGUUCUGCUGUAUAUGUCCUUUCAGAUUAAUCUGGGACUCUACUCUAUUUUUUAUUUAGGGAGGAUUACAAAUUGAGUUAGAUGAAUGGUAGCAACAAAUAUUGUUCUAUUUACCUUAUGGGGUUUGAGAUUGUUUUGGUGUUUUUGUUUAUGUAAAAAUGGGAGAAAUUGGAAGGUAAAAGAAUUAUUGAGAUUAAGUUAUUGUUAUAGGCCUGUGACAAUUGUGGAUCAAACUGCAGAGAAGUAUAUGAUUUCAGUUGGGUGCAGCUAUUGCCACCCCACCAAAUGUUAUGUUCAUCCCACAUUUCAAUUUUAAACUAAAUAUUCAAAUACUAACCCCACAAUCAAUAAUUUUUGUGAAAAUAUAAUAUUAAACUAAAAUCUCUAAAAUUUAAAUAACAACAAUUCUCUAUAUGUUUAUACGAAAACAAUUCUCUACAUCUCUCAAAUCAGAUUUGAGAAUCACUUCAAUCUUCAAUAAGGUGGUUAUACAGUGUGGUGAGAUUGUUAUGUUCGUUCUUAUUUUUAUUUUAUUUUAUAUUUAUGGCUACUGUUGUAGUCUUUCACACACACACACACACACACACACACACACACACAC
rnacentral:lncRNA from 1 species